rnacentral:rRNA from 1 species
GACGAACGCUGGCGGCGUGCUUAACACAUGCAAGUCGAACGCUGAAGCUCAGCUUGCUGGGUGGAUGAGUGGCGAACGGGUGAGUAACACGUGAGUAACCUGCCCUCUUCUUUGGGAUAACGCCCGGAAACGGGUGCUAAUACUGGAUAUUCACUGAUUCUCACAUGGGGGUUGGUGGAAAGGUUUUUUCUGGUGGGGGAUGGGCUCGCGGCCUAUCAGCUUGUUGGUGGGGUGAUGGCCUACCAAGGCUUUGACGGGUAGCCGGCCUGAGAGGGUGACCGGUCACAUUGGGACUGAGAUACGGCCCAGACUCCUACGGGAGGCAGCAGUGGGGAAUAUUGCACAAUGGGCGAAAGCCUGAUGCAGCGACGCCGCGUGAGGGAUGGAGGCCUUCGGGUUGUAAACCUCUUUCGCUCAUGGUCAAGCCGCAGCUUUGGGUUGUGGUGAGGGUAGUGGGUAAAGAAGCGCCGGCUAACUACGUG